CAACUAACUUGACUUUUUAUUUAUUUAUAUAAAUGAAGUAAGUUAAGAUCAAACUGAUAAAUCUUGAUUAAAAAAUCGAAUCUUUUUGCUUACAUGGAAACAGGACAAAACAAAUUAAGACCAUGCAGCUAAAGAACAACUCUUUUGGUAGCUUUGUUGUUUAUCUUAAACAUACUUGCAGAAUCUUGAAAUCAGUCUUUUCGGUACUCAGCUGCAAGCUCAUGAAAGCCAAACUUUUCAAAGAUAUCACUGACGAUUCGGCUGGCAAUGAAUGAAAAGGCAGAUGCCCCAAACGCCAUUCCGGUGUAUUCAGCCAUGGUCCUGAGUUUUUGCAUGCGGAAAGCGUAGGCUUUGGCAAAGGAGAGAGAGAUGACGCAGACCAGAGAUGCAGCAAGAACAACCGCAGCUUUGUAGUGUCCCUUGUCGGUUAUUCUGUAAGAGAAGGCGUAGCAGAGAGGAGGUAUCACACCGAAGAAGAAGAAGGAAAGCACAACGACGACGCAGUGGAGCGUGAAGUUCCUUUUGUUUCCCAGCAGUGUUUGGCAAAAAAAAGAAAGGAAACAAAACGACUUACGUUGUUACAGAUAAUAAUAAGGCCACUGGAUAGACUCGCUAGCCCCAAAGAGAUAACGUUGACUGCAAGUAAGAUUAUAUUAGUUUUAAUUGAAAUGUAUGAAGAAACUCAAUGCCGUGUUUAAGUGUACUUACGAGUUGAAGCUCCGGAAGCGACAGCGGAGGAUACGACACCGAGGCUUGUGAUGGACUCGAUAAGACCUCCGUACACAAUACUCUUCAAGAUGUCUAGCUCUCUUGGUAAGUGGUUUUGAACUAGAACCACGAUAUAUUUCAACAUUGGUAAGUGGUUUUGAACUAGAACCACGAUAUAUUUCCACAUUUCCUUUGGAUUUGGCACUGAAAUAGGAAUGCUGAUUGGUUUAUCAUGAUCCUCUGUAAGUAACACUGGACUAGGGUCAUCGAUUGGUUUAUCACUAACAUCAGGUUCCCGGGUCGGAUCCACAUUGGAUUUCCACAAAACAUCUGGAAGUGGCACUGAAAUAGGAAUGCGGAUUGGUUCAUCAGGUGCACGAGGCGGAAACAAGAUGGGAAACAAAGGUUGAAGUCAUCAUUCCAACACAGAAUCAGAGAGUUGAGGGAAAAAGUGCGAUACCUUUGUUAUCCAGCUGAGUAUUAGGCGUGAUGGUUUCUUCGCUCCUAGAUGUGUUUUUGUCAUCUUAAGCAAAUAAAUGAGAAAGAGGGUCAGGGAAAGAUGACAAAGAUGAUGAUCUCCUGUUAUAGUAAUUUUACAUGUGAAAAUACCUAGAGCUUUAUCUGUACUACUAAGACGGGGUUGAGGUUUUAUAAAAGUUUGUGGAAUAACUCUUUUGCUCCCUACAAUAUAUAUAUAGUGUUAAUAUAAGUCUUU
rnacentral:lncRNA from 1 species